rnacentral:rRNA from 1 species
AUUGAACGCUGGCGGCAGGCCUAACACAUGCAAGUCGAGCGAGCGGCGGACGGGUGAGUAAUGUAUGGGGAUCUGCCCGAUAGAGGGGGAUAACUACUGGACACGGUGGCUAAUACCGCAUACUAUCGGAUGCCCCAUAUGGGAUUCGCUAGUAGGGGGGGUAAAGGCUCACCUAGGCGACGAUCUCUAGCUGGUCUGAGAGGAUGAUCAGCCACACUGGGACUGAGACACGGCCCAGACUCCUACGGGAGGCAGCAGUAGGGAAUCUUCGACAAUGGACGAAAGUCUGAUCGAGCAAUGCCGCGUGUAUGAAGAAGGUCUUCGGAUCGUAAAACUCGUUGUUAGAGAAGACGGUAUCUAACCAGAAAGCCACGGCUAACUACGUGCCAGCCGCCGCGGUAAUUC